rnacentral:rRNA from 1 species
GACGAACGCUGGCGGCGCGCUUAACACAUGCAAGUCGAACGGAAAGGCCUGCUUUCCCUUGUGGAUUGCGGGUACUCGAGUGGCGAACGGGUGAGUAACACGUGAGUGAUCUGCCCCCAACUUGGGUAUAAGCCUGGGAAACUGGGUCUAAUUCCCGAUAGGACUGCAGGGUGGUGCCUGUGGUGGAAAACGAUUUUCUAGUGGUUGGGGAUGAGCUCGCGGCCUAUCAGCUUGUUGGUGGGGUAAUGGCCUACCAAGGCGGCGACGGGUAGCCGGCCUGGGAGGGUGGACUGCCGCAAUGAGACUGAGUUACGGCCCAGAGUACGACGGCGGGCAGCAGUGGGAAAUGUUGAACAAUGGGCGGAAGCCUGAUGAGGAGACGCCGAGUGAGGAAUGCCGGCCUUCGAGUUGUAAGCUCCUUUCGGCCGCGGGGAAGCCACCUGGUUGGAAGGGUGGUGACGGUAGUGGUAGAAGAAGCACCGGCUAACUACGUG